rnacentral:rRNA from 1 species
UAGGGAAUCUUCGGCAAUGGGGGGAACCCUGACCGAGCAACGCCGCGUGAGUGAAGAAGGUUUUCGGAUCGUAAAGCUCUGUUGUUAAGGAAGAACGUGUGUGAGAGUGGAAAGUUCACACAGUGACGGUACUUAACCAGAAAGGGACGGCUAACUACGUGCCAGCAGCCGCGGUAAUACGUAGGUCCCGAGCGUUGUCCGGAUUUAUUGGGCGUAAAGCGAGCGCAGGCGGUUAGAUAAGUCUGAAGUGAAAGGCAGUGGCUCAACCAUUGUAGGCUUUGGAAACUGUUUAACUUGAGUGCAGAAGGGGAGAGUGGAAUUCCAUGUGUAGCGGUGAAAUGCGUAGAUAUAUGGAGGAACACCGGUGGCGAAAGCGGCUCUCUGGUCUGUAACUGACGCUGAGGCUCGAAAGCGUGGGGAGCGAACAGGAUUAGAUACCCUGGUAGUCCACGCCGUAACGAUGAGUGCUAGGUGUUAGGUCCUUUCCGGGACUUAGUGCCGCAGCUAACGCAUUAAGCACUCCGCCUGGGGAGUACGACCGCAAGGUU